rnacentral:rRNA from 1 species
AUCUUCACAAUGGACGAAAGUCUGAUGGAGCAACGCCGCGUGAGUGAAGAAGGUUUUCGGAUCGUAAAACUCUGUUGUUGGAGAAGAACGUAUUUGAUAGUAACUGAUCAGGUAGUGACGGUAUCCAACCAGAAAGCCACGGCUAACUACGUGCCAGCAGCCGCGGUAAUACGUAGGUGGCAAGCGUUGUCCGGAUUUAUUGGGCGUAAAGCGAGCGCAGGCGGUUUCUUAAGUCUGAUGUGAAAGCCUUCGGCUCAACCGAAGAAGUGCAUCGGAAACUGGGAAACUUGAGUGCAGAAGAGGACAGUGGAACUCCAUGUGUAGCGGUGAAAUGCGUAGAUAUAUGGAAGAACACCAGUGGCGAAGGCGGCUGUCUGGUCUGUAACUGACGCUGAGGCUCGAAAGCAUGGGUAGCAAACAGGAUUAGAUACCCUGGUAGUCCAUGCCGUAAACGAUGAGUGCUAGGUGUUGGAGGGUUUCCGCCCUUCAGUGCCGCAGCUAACGCAUUAAGCACUCCGCCUGGGGAGUACGACCGCAAGGUUGAAACUCAAAGGAAUUGACGGGGCCCC